rnacentral:rRNA from 2 species
UAACGCGUGGGAAUCUACCUUAAGCUACGGGAUAACAGAGAGAAAUUUCUGCUAAUACCGUAUGUGGCCUAUGGGCGAAAGAUUUAUCGGCUUAAGAUGAGCCCGCGUUGGAUUAGCUAGUUGGUGGGGUAAAGGCCUACCAGGGCGACGAUCCAUAGCUGGUCUGAGAGGAUGAUCAGCCACACUGGGACUGAGACACGGCCCAGACUCCUACGGGAGGCAGCAGUGGGGAAUAUUGGACAAUGGGCGGAAGCCUGAUCCAGCCAUGCCGCGUGAGUGAAGAAGGCCUUAGGGUUGUAAAGCUCUUUCACCGGUGAAGAUAAUGACGGUAACCGGAGAAGAAGCCCCGGCUAACUUCGUGCCAGCAGCCGCGGUAAUACGAAGGGGGCUAGCGUUGUUCGGAUUUACUGGGCGUAAAGCGCGCGUAGGCGGAUAGAUAAGUCA